rnacentral:rRNA from 1 species
CCUACGGGUGGCUGCAGUGAGGAAUAUUGGUCAAUGGACGCAAGUCUGAACCAGCCAUGCAGCGUGCAGGAUGACGGCUCUAUGGGUUGUAAACUGCUUUUGUGCGGGGGUAAACCCCGAUACGUGUAUCGGUUUGAAAGUAUCGUACGAAUAAGGAUCGGCUAACUCCGUGCCAGCAGCCGCGGUAAUACGGAGGGUCCGAGCGUUAUCCGGAUUUAUUGGGUUUAAAGGGUGCGUAGGCGGUUUGAUAAGCUAGAGGUGAAAUGUCGGGGCUCAACCCCGGAACUGCCUCUAAUACUGUUGUACUAGAGAACAGGGACGGUAGGCGGAAUGUAUGGUGUAGCGGUGAAAUGCUUAGAGAUCAUACAGAACACCGAUUGCGAAGGCAGCUUACGAAAGCACAUCUGACGUUGAGGCACGAAAGCGUGGGUAGCAAACAGGAUUAGAUACCCUAGUAGUC